GAAGAAGGUAAGACCACCUGAGAGUGAGGAAGGCUUCUACAGCUCAAAGCAGUUAGAAGAACGUGAAAGUCACAAAGGAAACAAUGGAAUGAAUGAAACUGAAUACCUUCUUCUCAUAGAUAAAGUCCUUCUUGGACUGCAUGGGAAUCAAGAGAUCUGAGUCAUAGUUCUGGUUCUGCCACUUGUUAGGUUUCUUUCUCUGGGAUUUAGUUUCCUCUUCACAAAGCUGUGAACAGAUGAUCUUAUUCUUCUUCCACUUUUAAUAUCUCUGAGUCGAUGGCAUUCUGUCUCUUUUUUGGCUUCUGAGUGACAGGCAGGAAUGUAAAUCAUGGACUUCUUUUUAAAGUUGAAAGUAUUCUUGCAGACCAUAGGUGUCUGAAUUCAUGCUCUAAUAUACUGGGUUUUGAGGUGGCCUGAUGAACUGUUGAUCUUCUUGCUGGCCAGAGUUUUGAGCCAAUCAGGAGAUAAGGCAAAGGAGUCAGGCAGACAGAUUAAAACACUGUCUUUAUUACUGGUAAAUCUGAUAUUGGCAAAUGUGUCUUAGAGCUGCAGACAAAUGGGCUUUAUAAUACUGAAUUCCAGAAUGAGGCAGACUUACCCACCAGAGUCACAGGCAGCACAGAAAAUCACAUGCUUUGUUAUGCUGUCUCUGGUAAUUUUCACAUAGGGAAGCAGAGCAGAACACAGGCUUUCUGUAGGCAGCCAGCUCCUUAAAGGCAAGGAGAGAAGAAGGAGUGGGACAAUCCAUGAUCAGGUUUUCCUCCAAACUUAUCAGUGAAUUAAGUUAUUCCUUCAGGCAGAAAUAAGAAAGAAGCAGAGAGACAGAGGGAGAGAGAGAGAAAAGAGGCAGUGGUAUUAAGCUACUUCAUUGACUGCUUCUCCUGUCUCCUUUAUUGGUUUCUCCUCAUCUUCCUAAUUUUCAAACACUGGAAUAUUUCAGAUUCAAUCCUUAAAACUCUUAUUUGUCUUAUUCUCUUCCCAUUUGCUCUCCUCGAGUCUCAUGGCCUUGUCUAUGAUGAUCCCAAAAUUAUAUCUCCAGACUGAAAUACUUCUUUGAACUCCAAAACUUCAUAUUCUUUUAGGUCUUUACUCAAAUGUCCUUUUCUCAGCUUUCCCUAACUAUCCUAUAUAAAAUAUCUGGAACCCUCUACCCAGCACAGUCUAUCUCUUUACUCUAUUUUCCUCCAUAGUACUCUUCACCCCCCGCCCUAAUAUAUUCCUACUACUUGUUUAUCCUCCAUAGACAAUGUCUGUAUAAUGAAAAUUUCAUGAAGACAGGGUAUAGAAAGUGCCUGGCAUAUGGUAGUCAUUCAAUUAAUAUUGGUUGGUUGACUAAAUUAGUAAAUGAAAGCUAAGGUGCGUCUCCAACUGGGAAGGAAACAUUAAGAUUAGGGAAGACGCAUCCUCCCUCACAACAUCAUAC
rnacentral:lncRNA from 1 species